GAUGAACGCUGGCGGCGUGCCUAAUACAUGCAAGUCGAACGCGCCGAGAAGGGAACUUGUUCCUUUCAACGCGAGUGGCGAACGGGUGAGUAACACGUGGGAAACCUACCCUUCAGCGGGGGAUAACCAUCGGAAACGAUGACUAAUACCGCAUAGUUGUUCCAGUCGCAUGACUGGAAUGGGAAAGACGGCGUCGGCUGUCACGGAAGGAUGGUCCCGCGGUGCAUUAGCUAGACGGUGGGGUAACGGCCUACCGUGGCUUUGAUGCAUAGCCGACCUGAGAGGGUGAUCGGCCACAUUGGGACUGAGACACGGCCCAAACACCUACGGGAGGCAGCAGUAGGGAAUCUUCCGCAAUGGACGCAAGUCUGACGGAGCAACGCCGCGUGUGUGAAGAAGGUCUUCGGAUCGUAAAGCACUGUUAUCAGAGAAGAAUAGCCUAUAGAGUAACUGUUAUAGGUUUGACGGUAACUGAUCAGAAAGCCACGGCUAACUACGUG
rnacentral:rRNA from 1 species